rnacentral:rRNA from 1 species
AGAGUUGACUCCUGGCUCGAAGGACGAACGCUGGCGGCGUGCCUAACACAUGCAAGUCGAGCGGAGUAUUGAGAGCUUGCUCUUAAUACUUAGCGGCGGACGGGUGAGUAACGCGUGAGCAACCUGUCCCUCACAGGGGGAUAAGACACCGAAAGGUGUUCUAAUACCGCAUGAGACCACAGUGCCACAUGACACAGGGGUCAAAGGAGCAAUCCGGUGAGGGGUGGGCUCGCGUCCGAUUAGCCAGUUGGCGGGGUAACGGCCCACCAAAGCGACGAUCGGUAGCCGACCUAAGAGGGUGAUCGGCCACAUUGGGACUGAGACACGGCCCAGACUCCUACGGGAGGCAGCAGUGGGGAAUAUUGGGCAAUGGGCGAAAGCCUGACCCAGCAACGCCGCGUGAAGGAAGAAGGUCUUCGGAUCGUAAACUUCUGUCCUAAGGGACGAGUAGAAGACGGUACCUUAGGAGGAAGCCCCGGCUAACUACGUGCC